UUCACUGCAUCUGCAGCACUCUCGUGGCAGUGACUGAGACGUUGCCUUCACCAGAGGCCAUGUCAUUACCCUAAAUAAACUUAACUGGAAACUGCAGUGUCCCAAAAACAAAGUGAAGUCCAUCUGGAUCUCUCCCACUAAUGCCCUUUGCAGCUGUGCCUGAGCAGUGAAGCACGAAGGAGGAAAACCUCGAGUGCUGGGAAAAACUCCAAAGGUCUGGAUUGAGGAGAAGAGAUGCAAUGCCCAUACAUGGGGGUAAAAAAGCAGGAGAGACUGAUUGGGAAUUACACGUUCAGCCUACAGCCAUUAAAGGGAAACAGUUGAACUGAUUCAGAUGCUUUCUUAGGAGGAGGAGGAGGAGGUAGAGAACACUGAGAAGUGUCUGAAUAUGAAGAGACCAUCUUACAGCAAGGAGACAUGUUUCCUGUGGUGUUCUGCUGGCUUCAUGAGAUUAAUGACCUCAGCACUUCACAGAUAAGUCUUUCUGUGUGAAUGUGAUCUUCUCCUGUGUGCACAAGGGCACAGAGCCACUAAAAACCACCAUGCAUGAGAAGGAAUGGAUUAUAGAGCUAGCAGUGAAACUGAGGUCCUGGAGCAUUCUCAUUAGAGAUGCCAUUGUUUUUUGGAAAAUGUAGAUUUCAAUAUAUUCAGUAAUGAUGAUUAAAAUUAUGAGUUUUCCUACAUGGUGAGCCUUGCCACUGAUCAAAUUGUGAAAUUCUGUAUCCAUGAGAUCCCAAGAUACAGUUGUUGAGAUCUCAGCUUUAACAUCUGGGUUCAGCUGUGGCAGUGCACUGCUAGCAUGCUUAUUCUAACAACCAAGGGGAAAAUGUCCAGGUCUUUGAUAUUAGUUCCUAAAAGGGUACUGAUAUGGCUUCAAAUGUCAGGGCAUUCUGGCAUUUUCCUGCACCUUUGAUCACUUUAGGCAUGUUUUGGUGACGCUGUUCAGACGUUUCUCAAGAAACUGCUGCCACAAAGAAAAAGUUAUUGCAGUGUUACUUAGCACCAUGGCAUCGCCAAAGCACCUGGAUAGUCUAGGAGAACUUCCUUCAGAAGAUGGAAGGUAGAGGAAGGGAUUGCCUCUCAUCCCCCAUCAGCCUUUCUUACCUUCAUCUGACCCCUUUGGGAGCAGUUCCUGUCCAUUGAAAACUCCAGAGUGCCACGUCAGGCCUGAGCCACCUCCUGCUUCUGGCAGGAAGACCCUGCUGUAGUCUCUGUGCUCCCUUCAGGGCACACCCAGACACACAGGGGGGUUUUGAGGAGGGCAGAGCAUGUUUUCUGUAGGAAGACAGGAAGGAACACAGCCCUCCUCCAGCUCUGCAUGAGUCAAAACCUCUGAAAGGUCUGCAUUGUCGGGGCAGGAUCAACAGGCAUCAGCAGGGCAGCAGUGACACUCACUACAGGUUAGACAUUACUGCACAACACCUCUUGUCUCUACAGAGUAUGGUACAGAGGAAGGGAGGACCACAAAUGGCAUGUUUUGAGGUAAAAAACCAGCUGCCUCCAUUCAUGGAGGGGUUAAAAUGAUCUUCAACAUUAAUAAUUACUUUUUAAUUCAUGUUUGCCAGUGCUAGUGAAGCCUAACUAAUAGAUGAACAGUGUUUGAAAACCAAAUUCUUGUUCCUGUCAGGAAGCCCCAGUUCAAGAUGCACUGAUCCAUUCCUUCCCAUAGUGAGAUCAGGAAUUUGUUGAAAAGAGGGAUGUGCACCAAACACACCACCACAGUCCAGUGUCUCCUGCUAUAGCAGCACAGAUAGGAGCCUUGAGAAAAGCAUGUCCUGUUCUUAUCCUUCAACUAAUGUGUUCUGUAGCAUCUCCUCUAUUCAAACUAACUCCUAACUUAUUCACACAAAAGGUGGAGUCCUCAUCUUUAGCUUUAAGUUUUUUUCUACCCUUCCAUCUCUACCAGCCUGAAUUUUCUACCUGUGAUAAUUGAACCAUUCCCAUAGUAAAUGACUGGGUACUUGGAGAGGGGCCCUGGUACCAAAGUGUGGGAGUGCUGCCUGACUGCAGGGAAGUGGGAAACUGCAGCAAGAGCUCUGUGUGGUUAACCAGCUUCUUGGGGGACGUGCAGUCACUGACUCUUCCCAGUGCACAGGAAGGAAGGAAGGUUUUCUUCUGUCUGACAGUGAAUUUUCAAGAGAUGCAUUUAUGUUGUUAUACACUGCACUUGGAAUUGCAGGUAAUAUUUUAAUCUAUCAAAUGGGUAUGGACUAUUGAUGGCAGAAUUCAGGGACUAGAACUAUGUGAGUUUGAAUUCAUUAAUCCUCUAAAGGGAGCAGAACAGAUGAAGCCCUCUGAUAACGUAACACCAGAAGGCUUGAACUUUCUUGUAACAGAAUAAUUUCUCUAGUCAGGACAAAUUUUGUUCCCAUUUAUUUUUGGUGUCAGGUUUACCCCUACCAGCCCCUGCUAUGCCGUUUAGGGAGCUAAGUUUAAAGUUAGUGGGGCUCCAUGCACAAAGGGCUGGCCAGCCAUAACUGCAGAGAGCAAUGAAGUACCUGAUUAGUGCAAAAUGUGACACUUUCACUACUUGGCCUCCUGCCCAGUGGCAGCUACUUCUGCUGAGCCCAUCAAAUGAAUUCAUAAAAGUCACCAAAGAAUUGCAGGCUGUUGGUUGUUACUGGAUCAGACCAGCUUCUGACCAGUCAGCUAAAGAAAUAUCUUGUACUUCCAACACUGGACUAUCCAUCUAAAAACAUUGAAAAAUACAUACAGUGAAAUAGAGUUGUUAGACAGGAAAAUCCUCUUUAGCAUGAUACCAUCUGACCAUUAAAUGUCUGAAGAGUUGGAAUAGCAUAGUGUCUCAUCAAGGAGUUAUUGAAUUGUGUAAAUAAAUAUUUCUUUAGAAUUUAUUGAUUGGUGUGGAAGAGCUUGUGAAGUCAAACAUGCUUCUUUGUCUUUAGGCAGCUUCAUGCAGGAAAUUUGGCCUUUACCCAAUUCUCUGACUAACCCCAAAUUCAGAGUAGUUAUGUUAAUGCAUACUGCAAGAGAAAACCACUCUUUUCUUCCUUUUAUUCCAGCUUCAUUUUAAUGGGAUUAUAGACUGGCCUUUUAAAUGCAGAAACAAAUUUCUUCUGUUGCGUGCUACAAUAGUUUUUAAUUGACAGUCUGCUACUGGCCAAAGGUUAUCUCAAAGGAGCUGUGGCACCUGGAUCCCCUACCUCCCUCCUUCCCAUGCUGCUGCUGCCAUGGAUCAAAUGGAUACCAAUGCCCUUCUGAGCUCAAUCAUUUAACCUGAUGUCUCAGUACUAAGGGAAUGAGAUUUAUAGCAAAUAAUGUCAAUUUCUUAAGACUGUCUAGCCUGCCUUAGCCAUGGUUUUGCUUGAAACAGAAACUAGUAAGAGUUCUAGUUUCUGUUUAGAAUUUUCUGCUGAUGCUUUUUGUUCUACUGCUUGUCACAGCUAUAGGAUAACUUGGUCAACGCCUUAAAGUCAACACUAUUAUCACUCUGGAACUCCUUGUACUGCCCAGGGAAAGGAAAUGCAUUAAUUUUACAGCUGAGUCAAGCCCAGAAAUGAAUUAGCACAUUGGGUAAAUAUCUGACAGCACAUUUUUAAAAGUAACUAGUCACACACCCUGAGCAGGCGCCAAGAAAGGGACAUGUCCUCUGGGCUUGCUUAUGGACAGCCUUUGUGCCAGCUUUCUGCAUUUGUUUGUUCAUCUCAUUUGCUAUGAAAACAGGUAUGAAGUGGAUUCUUCUCCUCCUCCUGUCAUAAUUCCUGAUCUCACUGGCCAAUUUCAGCCCUGAUCUAGAGAGGGAAGAGGACUCAGUGAUGCUAAGUACUCAUUAUAUUUCAUGAUACAGAUGGUUGGAGAACUGAGAUGCAAAGGCUGCACCAUGAAGUUGCUCAUUGUCUGGCAAUAGGCAAUAUAUAGAAGAGACAGAUUACAAAUGGCCCAGCGAUGAAAGACUUACAGGAAGCAAACACAUCCAAUCCAAAUCCAUAGAAAAUAUGACUGUAUUAAUUCUGGAGCUGAUGAAAUGUUAUUUCACUGAUUCAUUGCAAAAACCCAAAUUAAUUCAGUGAGUUUUCUAAAUGGAUUUGGAAGGAAAUGUACAGUAAUUCAGUACAGUUAGAUCUGGACAUGCUGUGUUCCCUUGUUUUGUAUUCCUGCAGUUUGCUGUUAGUGUGGACAGCGCAAUGCCUACUCCCUACCUCAGUGCAUGUUAGAAAGCUUAAUUACCCUAAACACACACAGCUUUAUCAGGGAUCCCAAUGAGAGCAGAAACAGGACAAAAUAUCAGCUGAGUGCUUUUGAAAGAUAAGAUAAAGAAAGAUCUUUUAAGUGCAUAGAAAUAUCUCUCCCCUUUAUUUUUUUAAGUGUAGUUCCUUUAUCAGCCUUUUGGAACACAUAAGAUUUAAAACAUAUGAGUAGUCACAGCAUUUGAAAUUACCAUCUUAAAGUACUUCAACUGUAAAAGCAGAGAACUGAAUCCUACAGUGGAGGAGACAGAUGCAUAAAUGGAUAAAGCCCCAGUGCCAUAGUCUUGGAUGGGCAGUGCUCAGAAAGGGAAUGAACACAGUCACUAAAUUUAAAGAAAGACAGCAUUGAAUGAGAAAAUGCACAGAAUUGGCUUUAAAAUGAACAAAAGCCUUAAUUUCCUGAACAUGUGGAUUUAUUUCCUCUGCCUGAUCUCUUGGUAAAGAUAUGAACAACAAAAAUUACAGCUACCCACUGAUAUAAUUCAGUGACAUGAAGUGCAUUUAUUUCUUGAGAGAUUUAAAACUGCCUUUCACUCUUCCCCAUGCUGCUUGUUUUCAUACAUUUCUGUGUACUUGGCCUCAGUUCUGUCCAUCUGACUUGGUGGUGCAGCUGUAAUCCACCUCAGGACAGAUAUCCGGCUCUUCCUUUCGAAACUUCCUCUUGCUAUGCUAUAGCUCUUGUAAACGCCCUGGCGGAAGUGCCUUUUUCCUCCUUCCUACUCCUGCAAGAGGUCCCAGAAGCACAAGUGGCUUAAUAAACCAGACAACAUUUGGUUUGAAAAGAGCCUGAAGAGAUGUAGUUUGCAUUAACUUCAAUGCUUUUUUUUCCCUUACCUUAUAGGAACACCAUGCAUAUCACUCAUGUUUAAACAAAAUGCCUGGCAAAGCUGUAGAAGCUGUAGACACUGUCCUAACACUUUAAUUUAUUAGAGCAAAACUGCCAGGUUACUUUCCAUCCUUUCUACUCUACAUAUUUGAGAGAGAACAUCUGUCUGGCAACAGUAAUGGUUCCAAGUCAAGUAUAUGAUUUCUUUUCUUCACAGAGAAAGAUAGCUGAAUGAUACUCUAGAUGUAAUUAUCUUUCAUUUUCAGCAGUUCCCUCUAAAUAUGUAAUUUUAAAAAUUAACACUUAGGAAAAAAUAUGGUGUGCAUAUUAUUAUUGUUUCAUGGCACAGUUUUGAUUAUUUAUCAUCUUAUGUAUAUUUUAUAGGGUGAAAAGAGACAGUCUGUUCUGACUUAACAACAUAGUACUCUGCUUACUCAGUUUGGUUCUGGAAAGAGAGGAUGAUAUGAAAACAAGUGAGGUUCCCAUUUUUAAGUAUGUUAAGAAAAUCCCCAAAGGGGCAUUUCAACUGGUAGAGAGAAAACUACAGAUGCUCUGUAGAAGACAGAGGUGCUGGUUGGUCUCCUACCUAGAAGGACCAGGGAGGUGAGAUAUACAUGGAGAAGCUGGGAAGUUGCCAUAUCCACUUGAAGAAAGGCAGCAGCACCUUCCCAGCUACCAACACCCUGGAGGAGCUCUGCAAGGACUGACUUCCAACCUUUUGCUGUCCUUGCAGGGUGGAAAAGCCAGGACACAAAACUGCCCACCCCUGUGGUGGGCCAUCUGAACAGGAGAUUGCAAAAGACACUGGUGGGCCCUUUCUCUUGCCAGGGAAUAGAUACUACCCAUGUCUGGCCAGGUUGUCUUUCUCAUUUACAGCAUGGCAGAGUCUUCAGUAGACUUUUUAAUUUUUUUUUUUUUUUAAUAAUCUUGGCUUAGAAAGAAAUUGCUUAAUUUAACAAAGCGUGUUUACUAAAAUGGAGCUGUGGAAACUUUAAAGAUGUGCAUGACAGUGGGUUGUGUGUUUCUUCAUGCAUUCUCCAGUUCUCAAACACAGACCCUGCCAAAGCAAAUAACUGCACAGUAUUUAUCAUAGUUUUGUUACUAUGUAGGAAUAUUUUUUUGUAACAAUGCUUGCAAAGGUGAACUAUUUGUUAGCUCCUCCUCUCUUCUGUCUGCCAAUAAUAUGGAAAUCCAAUUGUGGUCAUGAAACAUUGCUGACUUGGAGAUGCAAGUCCCAGGAUCAAACCACAUUAGGCAGCAGCAUGGAGUUUCUCCCCCUGUCAAGAACCGGUUCUACUGCCACGUGAAAGACCAACAGAAGGUUUUUGUCAUAUUGCACUACAUCUCUGAAUGUACACCUAUGAAAUAACUCCCAUUACUCCUGGCCAAGGAAGACACAAGGCGCAG